CACAGCUCGAUGUACACAUUUUUGAGUGCCUAUA
rnacentral:rRNA from 1 species